rnacentral:rRNA from 1 species
UACAGAGGGUGCAAGCGUUGUUCGGAAUUAUUGGGCGUAAAGCGCGUGUAGGCGGCUUUGCAAGUCGGGUGUGAAAGCCCUCAGCUCAACUGAGGAAGUGCGCCCGAAACUGCAGAGCUUGAGUUCUGGAGAGGAAGGCGGAAUUCUCGGUGUAGAGGUGAAAUUCGUAGAUAUCGAGAGGAACACCGGUGGCGAAGGCGGCGACCUGGGUCGAUACUGACGCUGAGGUGCGAAAGCGUGGGGAGCAAACAGG